UUAGAGUUUGAUCCUGGCUCAGGAUGAACGCUGGCGGCAGGCUUAAUACAUGCAAGUCGAACGGUAAGGUCCGAAGUGGCAACACGGAGGGCACACGAGUGGCGCACGGGUGCGUAACGCGUAUGCAACCUACCCUUGACCGGGACAAAACGUUGAGAAAUCGGCGCUAAUAUCCCAUGUGAAGACGGGGAGGCAUCUCACGGUCUUUAAAGAUUCAUUGGUCAAGGAUGGGCAUGCGUAUCAUUAGCUGGUUGGUGGGGUAACGGCCCACCAAGGCGACGAUGAUUAGGGGUUCUGAGAGGAAGGUCCCCCACACUGGAACUGAGACACGGUCCAGACUCCUACGGGAGGCAGCAGUAGGGAAUAUUGGGCAAUGGGAGCAAUCCUGACCCAGCCAUGCCGCGUGAAGGAAGAAGGCCCUACGGGUCGUAAACAUCUUUUGCCACGGAGUAACCGUCGGGACGUGUCCCGGCCUGAGAGUACGUGGCGAAUAAGUACCGGCUAACUCCGUGCCAGCAGCCGCGGUAAUACGGAGGAUACGAGCGUUAUCCGGAUUCAUUGGGUUUAAAGGGUGCGCAGGCGGACCGGUAAGUCAGGGGUGAAAUCUCGCUGCUCAACAGUGAAUGUGCCUUUGAUACUGCCGGACUAGAGUGCUGGGGGCGUGACCGGAAUGUGACGUGUAGCGGUGAAAUGCAUAGAUAUGUCACAGAACGCCGAUCGUGAAGACAGGUCACGACCCAGCCACUGACGCUCAGGCACGAAAGCGUGGGUAUCAAACAGGAUUAGAUACCCUGGUAGUCCACGCCGUAAACGAUGAACACUCGUUGUCGGGGAGCGAUUCUCGGCGGCCAAGCGAAAGCGAUAAGUGUUCCACCUGGGGAGUACGAUCGCAAGGUUGAAACUCAAAGGAAUUGACGGGGGCCCGCACAAGCGGAGGAACAUGUGGUUUAAUUCGAUGAUACGCGAGGAACCUUACCCGGGCUCGAACGGCUGGUGAAGAGAUACAGAGAUGUUGACGUCCUUCGGGACACCAGUCGAGGUGCUGCAUGGUUGUCGUCAGCUCGUGUCGUGAGAUGUUGGGUCAAGUCCCGCAACGAGCGCAACCCCUACAGCCAGUUGCUAACAGGAGAGCUGAGCACUCUGACAGGACUGCCGCCGACAAGGCGGAGGAAGGUGGGGACGACGUCAAAUCAUCAUGCCCCUUAUGGCCUGGGCUACACACGUGCUACAAUGGUCUGGAACAGAGGGAAGCGAGAUCGCGAGGUGGAGCAAAUCCCAUAAAACAGAUCUCAGUUCGGAUUGUAGGCUGCAACUCGCCUACAUGAAGUUGGAGUUGCUAGUAAUCGCGGAUCAGAAUGCCGCGGUGAAUGCGUUCCCGGGUCUUGUACUCACCGCCCGUCAAG
rnacentral:rRNA from 1 species